ACAGCCAAUCUAGAGAUGCCUUGGGGAGGCAAACAGAACCUUUUGUGAUUGUGACCUUCCAUCCCCUGACCAACGUCCUACUCCCUACUGGGAUUUAGGGUGUUGACCAAGUUGGUAUACAUCUGCCCAGAUCAUCUUCAGCGUGGGACUGAGUAAGGACUCUGAAGUCGGGUGGUCUCGGCUUCAAAUUCUCACUCUUCCACUUAUGGACUGUUUGAUCUUGGGCACUGGGAUCCAGCAGUGAAGGGCAACUGAAGCCGCUGCCUUAGAAACACAUGAAAGUAGACCGCACAAGGCCCUGUGGAGGGAACGAGAGAGAUGGGGGGCUCUGCAGCAAGUGAUCAGGGAAAGCUUCACUAAGGAGUGACGUAGGUCCCUUCUUCCUGAGUCUUGAUUUCUUCUCUGUGAGCUGGAGAUAAAGCCCUUUCCCAGUCUCGUUUGGAAGAUCAAGUGAAUAGAAGAGACAUGGACAUUUUUAUCAUGAGGCUGCCUAUGGUGAGUACUCAAUACAUAUUUACUUUCCCCAAAUAAACCA